UCAGUCGACUCCUACGGGGAGGCAGCAGUGGGGAAUAUUGCACAAUGGGGGAAACCCUGAUGCAGCCAUGCCGCGUGUGUGAAGAAGGCCUUCGGGUUGUAAAGCACUUUCAGUAGGAGGAAGGUAGUGUAGUUAACACCUGCAUUAUUUGACGUUACCUACAGAAGAAGCACCGGCUAACUCCGUGCCAGCAGCCGCGGUAAUACGGAGGGUGCGAGCGUUAAUCGGAAUUACUGGGCGUAAAGCGCAUGCAGGCGGCCUGUUAAGUCAGAUGUGAAAGCCCGGGGCUUAACCUCGGAAUUGCAUUUGAAACUGGCAGGCUAGAGUCUUGUAGAGGGGGGUAGGAAUUUCAGGUGUAGCGGUGAAAUGCGUAGAGAUCUGAAGGAAUACCAGUGGCGAAGGCGGCCCCCUGGACAAAGACUGACGCUCAGAUGCGAAAGCGUGGGGAGCAAACAGGAUUAGAUACCCUGGUAG
rnacentral:rRNA from 1 species